CAGAAGAUCAUUUAGCAGUGUCGGAGAAUCUGGUUAACGCAGUAUAUAACAGCCCCUGUGCUUCUGCCAAUUCAUGGUUAAGUACAUCCUUUACACUGCUUGGCUGAUGUCCUGUGGAAUGCAUUCACUGAGAAGUACACUUUUCACUGCCAUGAAUAGUGCAGUGUCAACAGCUAGUAAGGAGAAGGUGUUCUAGAAUUCUGAUUUCCUCUGCAGCCUGCCGAUGAAAGCGCUUUUCAUUCCUUACCAUCUUUAACGCCACAUGCUGAUGAAGUUUAUGAUCAUAAGCUUUAACAACUUGUCCAAAACUUCCUUUUCCAAUA